AUUGAACGCUGGCGGCAGGCCUAACACAUGCAAGUCGAGCGGAGCGGCCGACGGGUGCGUAAUGCCUAGGAAUCUGCCUGGUAGUGGGGGAUAACGUCCGGAAACGGGCGCUAAUACCGCAUACUUUCAUAUGAGCCUCGGUCGGAUUAGCUAGUUGGAGGGGUAAAGGCCUACCACGGCGACGAUCGGUAACUGGUCUGAGAGGAUGAUCAGUCACACUGGAACUGAGACACGGUCCAGACUCCUACGGGAGGCAGCAGUGGGGAAUAUUGGACAAUGGGCGAAAGCCUGAUCCAGCCAUGCCGCGUGUGUGAAGAAGGCCUUCGGGUUGUAAAGCACUUUUAGCGGGGAGGCGUUACCCAAAGAAGAAGCAACGGCUAACUCCGUGCCAGCAGCCGCGGUAAUUC
rnacentral:rRNA from 1 species